rnacentral:snoRNA from 1 species
UGGUCCAUCCUAAUCCCUGCUGGUCAGUCAGUGAUUGGCCAGGCUUCGCUUGUGGACCAGAGCACCCUAGAAACCCUGUCAAAGUUGAGGAAGGCCUUUGUAAGCUCAUGCUAGCAGCAAUUCUGAACACAC